CUCGUAGGCGGUCUGUCGCGUCGGGAGUGAAAACCCGGAGCUCAACUCCGGGCCUGCUUUCGAUACGGGCAGACUUGAGUGUUGCAGGGGAGACUGGAAUUCCUGGUGUAGCGGUGGAAUGCGCAGAUAUCAGGAGGAACACCGGUGGCGAAGGCGGGUCUCUGGGCAACAACUGACGCUGAGGAGCGAAAGCGUGGGGAGCGAACA
rnacentral:rRNA from 1 species